rnacentral:rRNA from 1 species
CGGGACGGGUGAGUAAUGUCUGGGAAACUGCCUGAUGGAGGGGGAUAACUACUGGAAACGGUAGCUAAUACCGCAUAACGUCGCAAGACCAAAGAGGGGGACCUUCGGGCUCUUGCCAUCGGAUGUGCCAGAUGGGAUUAGCUAGUAGGUGGGGUAACGGCUCACCUAGGCGACGAUCCCUAGCUGGUCUGAGAGGAUGACCAGCCACACUGGAACUGAGACACGGUCCAG